rnacentral:rRNA from 1 species
UGAACGCUGGCGGCGUGCCUAAUACAUGCAAGUCGAGCGAACGGACGAGAAGCUUGCUUCUCUGAUGUUAGCGGCGGACGGGUGAGUAACACGUGGAUAACCUACCUAUAAGACUGGGAUAACUUCGGGAAACCGGAGCUAAUACCGGAUAAUAUUUUGAACCGCAUGGUUCAAAAGUGAAAGACGGUCUUGCUGUCACUUAUAGAUGGAUCCGCGCUGCAUUAGCUAGUUGGUAAGGUAACGGCUUACCAAGGCAACGAUGCAUAGCCGACCUGAGAGGGUGAUCGGCCACACUGGAACUGAGACACGGUCCAGACUCCUACGGGAGGCAGCAGUAGGGAAUCUUCCGCAAUGGGCGAAAGCCUGACGGAGCGACGCCGCGUGAGUGAUGAAGGUCUUCGGAUCGUAAAACUCUGUUAUUAGGGAAGAACAUAUGUGUAAGUAACUGUGCACAUCUUGACGGUACCUAAUCAGAAAGCCACGGCUAACUACGUG